rnacentral:rRNA from 1 species
GAUGAACGCUGGCGGCGUGCCUAAUACAUGCAAGUCGAGCGAACAGAUAAGGAGCUUGCUCCUUUGACGUUAGCGGCGGACGGGUGAGUAACACGUGGGUAACCUACCUAUAAGACUGGGAUAACUUCGGGAAACCGGAGCUAAUACCGGAUAACAUUUGGAACCGCAUGGUUCUAAAGUGAAAGAUGGUUUUGCUAUCAAUUAUAGAUGGACCCGCGCCGUAUUAGCUAGUUGGUAAGGUAACGGCUUACCAAGGCAACGAUACGUAGCCGACCUGAGAGGGUGAUCGGCCACACUGGAACUGAGACACGGUCCAGACUCCUACGGGAGGCAGCAGUAGGGAAUCUUCCGCAAUGGGCGAAAGCCUGACGGAGCAACACCGCGUGAGUGAUGAAGGGUUUCGGCUCGUAAAACUCUGUUAUUAGGGAAGAACAAAUGUGUAAGUAACUGUGCACGUCUUGACGGUACCUAAUCAGAAAGCCACGGCUAACUACGUG